rnacentral:ncRNA from 1 species
CAGCGCUUUGAUAGCUGUGAGUCAAGGGCGGUAGCGUU